rnacentral:rRNA from 1 species
UAAUACGGAGGGUGCAAGCGUUAUCCGGAAUCACUGGGUUUAAAGGGUGCGUAGGCGGGGAAUUAAGUCAGUGGUGAAAGCCUGUCGCUUAACGAUAGAAUUGCCAUUGAUACUGAUUUUCUUGAAUUGGGUUGAGGUUAGCGGAAUGUGACAUGUAGCGGUGAAAUGCAUAGAUAUGUCAUGGAACACCAAUUGCGAAGGCAGCUAGCUGGGCCUAGAUUGACGCUGAGGCACGAAAGCGUGGGUAGCGAACAGG